UGUAAACAAUUACAUAGUGAAACUGCGAAUGGCUCAUUAUAUAAGUUAUCGUUUAUUUGAUAGUUCCUUACUACUUGGAUAACCGUGGUAAUUCUAGAGCUAAUACAUGCUAAAAACCCCGACUUCGGAAGGGGUGUAUUUAUUAGAUUAAAAACCAAUGCCCUUCGGGGCUCACUGGUGAUUCAUAAUAACUUCUCGAAUCGCAUGGCCUUGCGCCGGCGAUGGUUCAUUCAAAUUUCUUCCCUAUCAACUUUCGAUGCUAGAGUAGUGUUCUAGCAUGGUUACAACGGGUAACGGAGGGUUAGGGCUCGACCCCGGAGAAGGAGCCUGAGAAACGGCUACUACAUCCAAGGAAGGCAGCAGGCGCGCAAAUUACCCAAUCCCGACACGGGGAGGUAGUGACGAUAAAUACUGAUACAGGGCUCUUUUGGGUCUUGUAAUUGGAAUGAGUACAAUUUAAAUCCCUUAACGAGGAACAAUUGGAGGGCAAGUCUGGUGCCAGCAGCCGCGGUAAUUCCAGCUCCAAUAGCGUAUAUUAAAGUUGUUGUGGUUAAAAAGCUCGUAGUAGAACCUUGGGCCUGGCUGGCCGGUCCGCCUCACCGCGUGCACUGGUCCGGCCGGGCCUUUCCCUCUGUGGAACCGCAUGCCCUUCACUGGGUGUGCCGGGGAAACAGGACUUUUACUUUGAAAAAAUUAGAGUGCUCCAGGCAGGCCUUUGCUCGAAUACAUUAGCAUGGAAUAAUAGAAUAGGACGUGUGGUUCUAUUUUGUUGGUUUCUAGGACCGCCGUAAUGAUUAAUAGGGACAGUCGGGGGCAUCAGUAUUCAAUUGUCAGAGGUGAAAUUCUUGGAUUUAUUGAAGACUAACUACUGCGAAAGCAUUUGCCAAGGAUGUUUUCAUUUAUCAGGAACGAAAGUUAGGGGAUCGAAGACGAUCAGAUACCGUCGUAGUCUUAACCAUAAACUAUGCCGACUAGGGAUCGGACGAUGUUAUUUUUUGACUCGUUCGGCACCUUACGAGAAAUCAAAGUGCUUGGGCUCCAGGGGGAGUAUGGUCGCAAGGCUGAAACUUAAAGAAAUUGACGGAAGGGCACCACCAGGGGUGGAGCCUGCGGCUUAAUUUGACUCAACACGGGGAAACUCACCAGGUCCAGACACAAUGAGGAUUGACAGAUUGAGAGCUCUUUCUUGAUUUUGUGGGUGGUGGUGCAUGGCCGUUCUUAGUUGGUGGAGUGAUUUGUCUGCUUAAUUGCGAUAACGAACGAGACCUUAACCUGCUAAAUAGCCCGUAUUGCUUUGGCAGUACGCCGGCUUCUUAGAGGGACU
rnacentral:rRNA from 1 species